GGUGUAGCUCAGUGGUAUAGCACUUGCUUACCAUGCAUGAGGCCCUGAGUUUGAUUCCCAGCACC
rnacentral:tRNA from 1 species